GUAGGGUGCAAGCGUUGUCCGGAAUUAUUGGGCGUAAAGAGCUCGUAGGCGGCUUGUCGCGUCGGCUGUGAAAACCUGGGGCUCAACCCCGGGCCUGCAGCCGAUACGGGCAAGCUAGAGUUCGGUAGGGGAGACUGGAAUUCCUGGUGUAGCGGUGAAAUGCGCAGAUAUCAGGAGGAACACCGGUGGCGAAGGCGGCUUGCUGGGCUCAUGUCUGACGCUGAGGAGCGAAAGCGUGGGGAGCAAACAGGAUUAGAUACCCUGGUAGUCCACGCCGUAAACGUUGGGCGCUAGGUGUGGGCCACAUUCCACGUGGUCUGUGCCGCAGCUAACGCAUUAAGCGCCCCGCCUGGGGAGUACGGCCGCAAGGCUA
rnacentral:rRNA from 1 species